rnacentral:rRNA from 1 species
CACGCAGUAAACGAUGAAUACUAGCUGUAUGCGAUAUACUGUAUGUGGCAAAGCGAAAGCGUUAAGUAUUCCACCUGGGGAGUACGUUCGCAAGAAUGAAACUCAAAGGAAUUGACGGGGGCCCGCACAAGCGGAGGAACAUGUGGUUUAAUUCGAUGAUACGCGAGGAACCUUACCCGGGCUUGAAAUGCAGACGACCGAUCGGGAAACCGAUUUUCCAGCAAUGGCGUCUGUGUAGGUGC